CCUACGGGAGGCAGCAGUGAGGAAUAUUGGUCAAUGGGCGCGAGCCUGAACCAGCCAAGUAGCGUGAAGGAUGACUGCCCUACGGGGUGUAAACUGCUGUUAUAAAGGAAUAAAGUGAGGCACGUGAGCCUUUUUGUAUGUACGUUAUGAAUAAGGAUCGGCUAACUCCGUGCCAGCAGCCGCGGUAAUACGGAGGAUCCGAGCGUUAUCCGGAUUGAUUGGGGUUAAAGGGAGCGUAGAUGGGUUGUUAAGUCAGUUGUGAUAGUUUGCGGCUCAACCGGAAAAUUGCAAUUGAUACGGGCAGCCUUGCGUACAGUUGCGGUCGGCGGAAUUCGUGGUGUAGCGGUGAACUGCUUCGCUCUCAC
rnacentral:rRNA from 1 species